UUUUCUUUAUAUUUCCCUCUCUAACAAAGGAUUUGGCCUAAAGGAAGAUUCAACUGGGAAAGGAUUUUUUAUAAAAGAAAAUCCUAUUAACAAAGAUAUCUUUAAAAAAGGAAAAGGAAAAAUUAAGAAAACAGAGAGACAGACAUAAACCGAGGUAGGGUUUUAUUCUAAAGACAUAAACUAAAACCCUGGUUGGGUUCUAACUGUCGAGUUCACUGCCCCUCAUUUUAGGUAAUUGAGAAUGGCUGGGGUAAGAGAGAUAACUGCGGCAGAGUUCCUGCAUGGUACAACUAGGCAAACUCUGUUUUUACAGAGAAAUCUUUCGAUUAAGCGAGGUAAUUUAUUAUGGGGCAAGCUCUGUAAUCCAAGCCGGAUGGGGUAUAUGUUUAAUACAAAAGGUGUUUCUUUGAGGUGCUCUGCUAAAUCAAAGCCUAGAGCGACAGCCUCUGGAAAUGUCCGUACCAGUUUGGUUGAUGAGCAACCUGGAUUGAUUGAAAAGCCCGCUCAAGAGGUCAUACAUUUUUACCGUGUUCCGUUGAUACAAGAAAGUGCAAACGAUGAGCUUCUCAAAUCGGUUCAAAGCAAAGUUUCGAAUCAGAUUGUUGGGCUGAAAACUGAGCAGUGUUUUAAUAUCGGGCUUGAUUCAAAUAUUUCCAGUGAAAAGCUCUCCACGCUUAAAUGGAUUCUUGGGGAGACAUAUGAGCCUGAGAAUUUGGCAACUGAGAGUUUUCUUGAGAAGAAGAGGCAAGAAGGGGUGAAUACAGCUAUAGUUGAAGUUGGGCCUAGGUUGUCUUUUACAACAGCGUGGUCCUCAAACGCUGUUUCAAUUUGUCAGUCCUGUGGCUUGACUGAGGUGACUCGAAUGGAGAGGUCUAGAAGGUACUUGUUGUAUAGUAAGGGAGUCUUGCAGGAGCAUCAAAUUAAUGAGUUUGCUGCAAUGGUUCAUGAUCGGAUGACACAGUGUGUUUAUAGUCAGAAGCUCACAUCAUUUGAAACCAGUGUGGUUCCAGAGGAGGUUCGUUUUGUGCCUGUCAUUGAGAAGGGAAGGAAAGCAUUAGAAGAAAUUAAUCAGAAAAUGGGUUUAGCAUUUGAUGAGCAAGAUUUACAGUACUAUACCAGGCUUUUCAUGGAGGACAUUAAGCGUAAUCCAACAAAUGUAGAGUUAUUUGAUAUCGCCCAAUCGAACAGUGAGCACAGCAGGCACUGGUUUUUCACAGGGAAGAUUGUUAUCGAUGGACAGCCCAUGGAUAGGACCCUCAUGCAAAUUGUGAAGAGCACUUUGAAAGCAAAUCCAAACAAUUCUGUCAUUGGCUUUAAGGAUAACUCAAGUGCAAUAAAGGGGUUCCUUGCUUAUCAAUUGCGACCAGUUAAGCCUGGAACAGCUUGCCCACUAAAUGAAACAACUCGUGAAAUUGAUGUCUUGUUUACAGCUGAAACACAUAAUUUCCCAUGUGCAGUGGCACCCUAUCCUGGUGCAGAGACAGGUGCAGGUGGUCGCAUUAGGGAUACACAUGCUACAGGAAGGGGGUCUUUUGUUAUUGCAGCCACAGCUGGUUACACAACCGGGAAUCUUAAUUUAGAGGGAUCUUAUGCGCCAUGGGAAGACUCAUCUUUCUCAUAUCCAUCAAAUUUGGCAUCUCCUUUGGAAAUACUUAUUGAGGCUAGCAAUGGUGCAUCAGAUUAUGGUAACAAAUUUGGUGAACCUUUGAUUCAGGGUUUCACUAGAACUUUUGGAAUGAGACUCCCUAGUGGUGAGCGACGUGAAUGGUUGAAACCUAUCAUGUUCAGUGCAGGCAUUGGACAGAUUGAUCACACUCAUAUAUCGAAAGGGGACCCUGAGAUUGAAAUGUUAGUUGUAAAGAUUGGUGGUCCUGCAUAUCGAAUUGGAAUGGGUGGUGGAGCUGCGUCCAGUAUGGUUAGUGGCCAGAAUGAUGCAGAACUUGAUUUUAAUGCCGUACAACGUGGAGAUGCUGAAAUGGCACAAAAAUUGUAUCGUGUAGUUCGUGCCUGUGUUGAGAUGGGGGAGGAUAACCCAAUCAUUAGCAUUCAUGAUCAGGGAGCUGGUGGGAAUUGCAAUGUUGUCAAGGAAAUAAUAUACCCAAAGGGUGCUGAGAUUGAUAUUCGGGCAAUUGUUGUUGGAGAUCACACGAUGUCUGUAUUGGAGAUAUGGGGUGCAGAGUAUCAAGAACAGGAUGCAAUCUUGGUGAAGCCUGAAAGCCACAACCUAUUGGAAUCAAUCUGUGCAAGAGAAAGACUUUCAAUGGCUGUUAUUGGAACUAUUAAUGGUGAGGGACGUGUUGUUCUAGUUGAUAGCUUAGCAAAUGAAAAAUGCCGUGCAAGUGGACUCCCUCCCCCUCCUCCUGCAGUUGAUCUAGAGCUUGAGAAAGUGCUUGGGGACAUGCCUCAAAAAAGCUUUGAAUUCAAGAGGGUAGCUUAUGCUCGAGAGCCACUUGAUGUUGCUCCUGGAAUCACAGUCAUGGAUUCGUUGAAGAGGGUAUUGAGACUACCAUCUGUAUGUUCCAAACGGUUUUUGACGACAAAAGUAGAUAGAUGUGUAACAGGUCUUGUAGCUCAACAGCAAACAGUUGGUCCCUUGCAAUUACCUCUUUCUGAUGUUGCGGUCAUUGCUCAAAGUUAUGUUGACUUUACUGGAGGUGCUUGUGCUAUUGGAGAGCAGCCAAUCAAGGGGCUGCUUGAUCCAAAAGCAAUGGCUAGACUGGCUGUUGGAGAAGCUCUCACAAAUCUUGUUUGGGCAAAGGUUACUUCUCUGUCUGAUGUUAAAGCAAGUGGAAAUUGGAUGUAUGCUGCCAAGCUUGAGGGGGAAGGAGCAGCCAUGUAUGACGCUGCUAUUGCUCUUUCAGAAGCUAUGAUUGAACUUGGUAUAGCUAUUGAUGGUGGGAAGGACAGUCUUUCCAUGGCUGCCCAUGCAGGUGGUGAGGUUGUUAAGGCUCCUGGCAAUCUCGUAAUUAGUGCUUAUGUCACUUGUCCUGACAUAACUAAAACAGUAACUCCAGAUUUGAAGUUCGGAGAUGAUGGUGUUUUGCUUCAUAUUGAUUUGGCAAAGGGAAAGCGACGUUUGGGUGGAUCCGCUCUAGCUCAGGUUUUUGAUCAAAUUGGGAAUGACUGCCCUGAUCUUGAUGAUGUUUCUUAUCUUAAAAGAGUUUUUGAGGGUGUGCAGGACCUUCUUGGAGAUGGUAUGAUCUCUGCAGGUCAUGAUAUCAGUGAUGGUGGGUUACUCGUUUGUGCCCUGGAGAUGGCAUUUGCUGGAAAUUGUGGCAUUGUAUUGGACUUGGCUUCUCAAGGGAAGAGUGUUUUCCAAUCACUUUUUGCGGAAGAGCUUGGUCUUAUUCUUGAGGUAAGCAAGAACAACUUGAAUAGUGUGAUGAGGAAGCUCAGCAGUAUGGAUGUUUCUGCUGAGUUAAUAGGACAAGUAACCACCUUGCCCAUGAUAGAGCUAAAGGUUGACGGAAUUACUCAUUUAAAUGAGAAAACUUCUCUCCUCAGAGAUAUGUGGGAGGACACAAGUUUCCAGCUCGAAAAGUUGCAGAGGCUGGCUUCUUGUGUGGAAUUGGAGAAAGAAGGUUUGAAGUUUAGGCAUGAGCCUUCUUGGGCAUUGUCUUUCACACCUUCCUUUACAGAUGAGAAAUACAUGACUGCAACUUUAAAACCAAAAGUAGCUAUCAUUCGUGAGGAAGGAAGCAACGGAGACAGAGAAAUGUCGGCAGCAUUUUUUGCUGCUGGUUUUGAGCCUUGGGAUGUAACAAUGUCAGACCUUCUUAAUGGAGCUAUUUCUUUGCACGAUUUCCGUGGAAUUGCAUUUGUUGGAGGUUUUAGUUAUGCUGACGUGCUUGAUUCUGCAAAAGGUUGGGCUGCGUCCAUAAAAUUCAAUCAGCCUCUUCUCAAUCAAUUUCAGGAGUUCUACAAGCGCCCUGACACUUUCAGUCUUGGUGUUUGCAAUGGAUGUCAGUUAAUGGCUCUGUUAGGGUGGGUCCCAGGCCCCCAAGUUGGUGGUGUUUUUGGUGCUGGUGGGGACCCCUCGCAGCCAAGGUUUGUUCACAAUGAGUCUGGACGGUUUGAAUGCCGCUUCACAAGUGUGACUAUAAAGGAUUCUCCUGCUAUGAUGUUCAAGGGAAUGGAAGGCAGUACAUUAGGUGUAUGGGCUGCCCAUGGUGAGGGAAGAGCAUAUUUUCCUGAUGAAGGUGUUCUGGAUCGUGUACUGCAUUCAGAUUUGGCUCCAUUAAGGUAUUGUGACGAUGAUGGGAAUCCAACAGAGGCUUACCCCUUCAAUUUGAAUGGUUCUCCUUUAGCAGUGGCAGCAAUUUGUUCUCCUGAUGGUCGACAUAUAGCCAUGAUGCCUCAUCCAGAACGCUGUUUCCUGAUGUGGCAGUACCCUUGGUACCCAAAGGACUGGAAUGUGGACAAGAAAGGCCCUAGCCCCUGGUUACGGAUGUUUCAAAAUGCCAGAGAGUGGUGCUCAUGAGUUUGGUUAGUUUUCCAUUUAUUUUACUAACCAAAUGAAUGCAUAAUUUAUAUCCAGCAUUUUUUAUGUGAAAAUGAGAGAAAGCAUCAUCUAUACGUGUGUCUUGGAUGAAAUCGUGUGAUCUUAACUUAUGCUGCAUGAUGUUGGGUUUUCAUCAAAAAAAAAAAAUCAUAUUGUAAGUGUAAAAUUUCAGAAUUUAUGUAGUUAAAAAAAAAAGAGAGAUUUCCUCCAAUUUUAGUUGUGUGGUUAUGGCUCUUUUGAUGUUUGUGGUUGGUUCUUUGCUGCUGGCUGUGUUUGUCCCUGCCCUGGCCAUGCUCUCGGUUCUGCUGCUGGGUGCUUUUGGGUUGGCAUCUAGGAUUUGGAUUUGGCCAUUGAGUCUGGGGUUUUUUCACUGUGGAUUGGUUUCUUUGGUGGUCUUGCUUUGUAUGGUCAUGUACAUCUUCUUUUGUUCAUUGCCAUCUGGGCUAGUGAAAAGUGCAGAAAGUAUAGGUUGAUGCUCGGUGAUAAUUUCUGCUCUAUUUUAGGGGCAGUUAGUUUUGUUCUGCUCCUUGAAGGAAUAUUGGGGGUAUGCUUGUCUCUUAUGUAAAGGUUAUUGAGAUGCAAGGACAAAUGAGAGGAAGUAUAGUGGUCGGAUGCUUCAUUUGAGUUCGAUUUGGAGAUUUAGCUGUUAUCCCGAAAUGUCAUGAGGACAUUUGGAAAACGUCGCUUAAUUUUUGCUUCAUGCUGACUGAUUACAUAGCUGUUUCUUUAUAUUUCUUCAUCAUCUUAAGUUUCCAACAGAGCUGGUUCUUUAUAUUUGUUCAUCAUCUCAAGUUUCCAGCUGUGGAGGUGCUUAUUUGCCCUAUUUGGGCAAACUUUCUUCAGUGUGUUUCAGCUCUCUCUCAUAGCUAUGACAAUUGUCCUUUUUAAAUUGUAUUAUAUCAUAAAUAUUUUGGGAGCUAAUACAUCUUCAUAAAUGUGAACUAUAACUAUCUUAUUUCUUUUGUGGAA